CAGAGCAAUGAUCGCCCAGUCUGCGCCAGGUCUCGCCAAUAUAGAGGAGUCCAUACCUAGAACAGCGGAUACAGUAGAUGAGGUUGGAGGAGGUGCAAGUGAACCUCUGCCUCACGUGAAAGGACUAUUGGGGUUCCCGGAGAGAUUCACCAC